UCGAGCGCGCCAAAGGUCAUGCAAAUUCAGCUAGUUCAAUGUGGUGGCUAUAGCUCAGUUGGUAGAGCCCCGGAUU
rnacentral:tRNA from 1 species